rnacentral:lncRNA from 1 species
AGUGUGCCAAAUGAUUUCUUGAUGUGCCGGGGUCGACCUAAUCAUCCUUUGGGUCGACUCAAUCCACACUUUGCUGCAUCUCAAGGUUAGAUUCAUUCAAAUGAACAAAGACAUGUAUCUAUUAUCAAUUCAUACAAAUAUACUGAGAGUAAUGACCUUAUAAAUGAAGUAUCAAUUUAACUUAUAACAUACUCUAGAUAAUUGCUUGUUAAUCAUCAAAAUAACACUAUCAUCCUCAAUCUCCCCCUUUUUGAUGAUUACAAAAUAAAGAGUAUGAGCCUAUUGAUACUUGUCUUUAAAAACAGUUUUU